UGAUGGCCAUAUCAUGUUGAAACACUGAAUCCUGUACAAUCACUGAAGUUAAGCAACAUCAAGCCUGGUUAGUGCCUAGAUGGGUGACCACCUGGGAAUACCAGGUGCUGUAA